rnacentral:lncRNA from 10 species
UCCUUGAGCUGUGGUGGGCUCCACCCAGUUGGAGCUUCCCGGCUGCUUUGUUUACCUAAGCAAGCCUGGGCAAUGGUGGGCGCCCCUCCCCCAGCCUCGCAGCCGCCUUGCAGUUUGAUCUCAGACUGCUGUGCUAGCCAUCAGCGAGACUCCGUGGGCGUAGGACCCUCCGAGCCAGGUGUGGGAUAUAGUCUCGUGGUGCGCCGGUUUUUAAGCUGGUCUGAAAAGCGCAAUAUUCAGGUGGGAGUGACCCGAUUUUCCAGUCUUUUUCUGGAGGAAGAGCAAUCAAGUUUGUGGCCACAGAGAUGCUGGUGGGAUGGACAUGGUUCUGGAUCUGAGCUCUAAUCACAAUUGCAGCAGCUGCACCCAGAGGACCAGUGCUGGAUCCCCACUCUGGGGAAGGCAAUGGCUGUGCACCCUGGAGCUCAUGUUCACUGGGGAUCUGCAGGUGGAGCUGGAGGUGAACUCAAAGCUCUUUACCCUCAAAGCGGAUCUCUGGCAAGAGGCAAGAACAGGUUUUAAGAAAAGAAGUGAAAUAGGAAGAAGGACUAACACAGAUGACUUUUCCAACUCCAAGACCUGCAUUGCUCUCUUCCCAACUUUUGUUCAUUCAGCUGCACCAGUAAGCAUUCCACUUUGAUGAAUGGAUUGAACAUCAAAUACCACAGCUAAGCCAUGUCAUGUGUCUGGAAGACAGAAUAUGGAUUUCAUGUAUUUCUACUUUCUUCUUAAACAAGCAGCUUAUUCCCUUCCUUUUACCAAAGGUAGAAAAAAAAUAAACUAGAUUUUUUUAAGCAUAAAAUUAGGUGGUUGUUCUUUUGUUCAAUCCAAUGGAAUAAUAUAUUUAAACUAUUAUACUGCUGAUUUAAAGGUAUAUCAUAAUUAUACCCCUAGAACAUACAAGACAUUGGCCACUGUCCCAAAGAGAUAUCAAGAAUAACCCAUAUGCCCAAGUUAUCCAAAUUCUAUGCUUCUUUAUUCUCCAGAUUCCCUGGAUAGAUCAACUGGGUUAGGGAGACUCAUGGGGCCAUUUCUACAGGAGAAAACAGAGACUCCAUUUUCUGGGUGUCAUUUCACUUUCCACCUGCCGCAUGGAGCUGUUGAUGCCACAUCUGCCAGAAUGGUGUUCAGGUUUCUGGCACCUGCCAUGUUUAGGGAUGUUCAGAUUCUUAUCUCUGCUCUCUCCAGUCCAGAGAAGAUAAAAAUAGGGCAAGUGAGCCUGCACCAACAUAGUCUAAGCCUUGCUUCUCGGGUUCUC